GGAUGUGAGGGCAAUCUGGCUGCUGGCACUCCAUUGAUCGCCAGGGUUAAUUUGGCUGAUCUGGCUGGCUAGGCAGGUGUUCCCUUCCUCCCUCAACACUCCAUGUGCAUCCCUCCCAAAGCAUUGUGCUCCAUUGAAGAGGAUGGCCUUCCCCCAAUAGAUACAGACCAGCCCUAGGUCUAGGGUAUAUGAAUAACUGCACUCCCUUGCUAGAACCUCCAAACAAGCUCUCAAGAAAGCGCAGAAAAAAGGGACUAAAUUAAAUAAAGAUAAUAAAAGAGAGUGUAGGCUAACACCAGGAAUAGUUAUAUA
ensembl:misc_RNA 7SK 7SK RNA